rnacentral:rRNA from 1 species
AUUGAACGCUGGCGGCAGGCUUAACACAUGCAAGUCGAGCGGGGUGAUGGUGCUUGCACUAUCACUUAGCGGCGGACGGGUGAGUAAUGCUUAGGAAUUGGCCGAUUAGUGGGGGACAACAAUUCGAACGGGAUGCUAAUAGCGCAUACGUUGUACGGGAGAAAGCAGGGGAUCACCUGUGACCUUGCGAUAAUAGAUGAGCCUAAGUCGGAUUGACGAGUUGGUGGGGUAAAGGCCUACCAAGGCGACGAUCUGUAGCGGGUCUGAGAGGAUGAUCCGCCACACUGGGACUGAGACACGGCCCAGACUCCUACGGGAAGCAGCAGUGGGGAAUAUUGGACAAUGGGGGGAACCCUGAUCCAGCCAUGCCGCGUGUGUGAAGAAGGCCUUAUGGUUGUAAAGCACUUUAAGCGAGGAGGAGGCUCUUUUGGUUAAUACCCAAGAUGAGUGGACGUUACUCGCAGAAUAAGCACCGGCUAACUCUGUGCCAGCCGCCGCAGUAA